AUUGAACGCUGGCGGCAGGCCUAACACAUGCAAGUCGAGCGGUAACAGAUCUAGCUUGCUAGAUGCUGACGAGCGGCGGACGGGUGAGUAACGCGUGGGAAUUUGCCUGAUAGAGGGGGAUAGCCCGGGGAAACUCGGAUUAAUACCGCAUACGCUCUACGGAGGAAAGCAGGGGAUCUUCGGACCUUGCGCUAUCAGAUAAGCCCGCGUGGGAUUAGCUAGUUGGUGAGGUAAGAGCUCACCAAGGCGACGAUCCCUAGCUGGUCUGAGAGGAUGAUCAGCCACACUGGGACUGAGACACGGCCCAGACUCCUACGGGAGGCAGCAGUGGGGAAUAUUGCACAAUGGGCGCAAGCCUGAUGCAGCCAUGCCGCGUGUGUGAAGAAGGCUUUC
rnacentral:rRNA from 1 species